rnacentral:misc_RNA from 1 species
AGGGAGAAAAAUCAUAUAGUUAGGUUAAAAAGAUAAUUUACUCUCAUUUAACUAGUAAAAAAGAAAUCAUAGAGUGAGUUUAUAAAAGCAUACUAGAGAAAAUGUGCACAGUACAUGUAACUUUUCCUAUAAAAAUCCUGAAAAAUUUGAGUCCACUUCAAGGCCAACCAAGUACCAACAGAAAGAAAGUCUAAACUUUUUCAUGGUAUACAACAGAAAGCAAAGACAACCGUAUUAAAUUCCCCAACAAGCAAGUUAACAGUGGAAUUCAAGGCCUUCUCAAUGUGAUUCAUCAUAAAUGCACAAUCUCUCUAUUAUGCCCAUCAAUGAAACAAAGAUGAUUGAAUCAAGAAAGAGUGAAAAUCUAACAAAAAGUGCCACCUACUCUUAACCCACAAUCUAGUUUAUUAUAAAAUCCAAUUCCACACAAUUGAAAUCCAUCAAAUGGAUGAGCUAAUUUCACUGAAUCAAACAACUGGUUAACCACACAUAACUGCAAACAACUUUCACCACAGUUGCAUUCCACUCCAAUUUGCCUUAUCAACAAACCAAAUACUUAUAAACUCCAACUUUCAACUGGACAGAACUCAAUUUCACCUUAAUUUGAU